rnacentral:tRNA from 1 species
ACCUCCUGUGGCCGAAUGGUUACGGGUUUCGCCUCAUAAGCGGAAAGUCAUGGGUUCAUCUCAGGGUGGCA